UACGUAGGGUGCGAGCGUUGUCCGGAAUUAUUGGGCGUAAAGAGCUCGUAGGCGGUCUGUCGCGUCUGCUGUGAAAUCCCGAGGCUCAACCUCGGGCCUGCAGUGGGUACGGGCAGACUAGAGUGCGGUAGGGGAGAUUGGAAUUCCUGGUGUAGCGGUGGAAUGCGCCGAUAUCAGGAGGAACACCGAUGGCGAAGGCAGAUCUCUGGGCCGUAACUGACGCUGAGGAGCGAAAGCGUGGGGAGCGAACAGG
rnacentral:rRNA from 1 species